GGUCGCGAAAAGCCCCGCCUGGCCCGGUCGUGCCGCCAAUCAUGUGUCGCGCCUCUCCUCCCCAAUCCCAUCUCUGCCCGUCGCCCUCCCUGGCCCAAUCCUCCCUCGCCUCGUCGUCGCCGCCGUCGGGCUGCCCGGCGGAAGUAGCGCCGCCUCGUCGUCGCCAUCGCCGGCGGCUGCCGGUGGAGGCAGCAGGUCACCGCCUCGUCGCCGCUCUACCGCUGGAUGGCUCCGACCCGCGGCCGCGCCUCCGAUCCAAUCCCUGCAGCCGAGCUAUUCCUCGCAGCCGCCGCCUCUGGCCUCCAUCCCCGCCGCCGCAACGUGCCUUGCCGUGAGAUGGCAGGGGACGGCCGGACGGGGCGGAGAUGGCAGCCGGCAUCCGGCCGGAGGUUGGAGCAGCAGCAGCAGGGACGUUGACCACCGGAAUGGAGGAAGCAGGCCAGUGCACAGAUGGCCGGCGACAGGGAUCGAAGGUGCAGGGGCGCGGAACCUGGAGAAGGGACGCGGCGCGGGACCAGAAGGUGGAGAUCUCCUCCCCAACUCCGCCUCCGCUACAGUGUGGUUUCUCUCUUCCUAGGAGGUCGGCAUGGUGUCCAUGGCCAAGGACAGUGCGCUCCACCUCCUCCCCUCCCCACAUACCUGUGCUAGAUUGGUUCUCACUCCGCACAACAUUGCCCUCUAUGAAAAGGAGUAAUUGGUGCCCUCCCAUAUUUGUUGUGCACGUCAGAUGAUGAAGAUCCAUUGGUGUUUUUACUAUUCCUUGUGAUAUGGGGCAACAUGCUUAAUUUUAGGUAAUUUCCGUCAGAAAUCUCCACUAUGAUGCAUUUGGUUUCAGGUGUUAACUUCCUUAUAUAUAUUAUAUUAUUACAUCAUGUUUGUAAUGCGAGUUGGAACUUCAUCUGCAAGUUGAGAAUUCCUUUAUAGGUUUAUUAAAUGUGCCUUACCUAUCUUAUUUCACCUACCAAUGCAAUGUGAGAGGUACUAUCAUCCUUCCUUAGUUCUUACUAAUGCCAUAUAAUUCAAGCAUUUUAAUGUUGAUGUUGCUACUGUAACACGGUAUGGUAUUUUUUCCCAUAUCUGAGAUAUGCUCAGAGUAAUGGGUAUGUAAUUAUCGAUGAUUUUAGAUUUUGCAGGAUGGUAUCUUCAUGUAUCUUAUCACCAUAUAGACUUACUAAUGCACAUUUUAGUAGAACAAGAAUCAUUCUUCACUAUUUUCGUUCUGAUGAGUUGUAGCACUACUUAUUUGGGCAUAUAGAUUUGAGCUUCGUGUUCUUGUGAUAUUUCACAUACUACCAAUUACCCUCUGAAUCUAUAUGCCUUCUGCAUCUAAUGUUAUACUACGGGUAUCAUGAUCAGUGCUACAAUUUAAGUAGUGCCUCUAUGUUGUUAUAAAAGAAAUACACAAUCCUGGAAUUUAGAUGCUUAAGAAACCAAUGAUUUUUUAUGCUAACUUUGGUGCAGGGCUGCAGGUCAACUGAUAGGAGGACUUUUGAAUGAUUGGGAUCUUCAAGAAAUAGGUUCAAACGAAGUAGGUGGGAGGGUUGGCGGGAAAGCACCGAGAUAAUGCAGUAGUUUUGGCUUCAUUAUUUUGUACUCCAUAUCUCUAAUGUAAUUUGGUCUUUUACAAUAUAUUUGAUUUACAACCAACAAACCUCAGGUUAUAAAGUAUCACUAAUCCAUUUAAUCUUCUGUUGGACGCUGAUUUAGAGGCUCUUGACCUGCCAUUACAUUUGUUAGAAUGGGGUGACAUUGAGAAGAGUAUACCUAACGAAGGGCUCAACAAGGCAAUCAUCGAGGCCUCUAUUGUGAAGAUCUUGUGGGAUGGCAACCAUUCUUGUUUCUUUCCUGGUAAUAAUAAUCGGAGCAAUAUUGUGAACCCUAAUGAUUAUCAGGAAAAGGUAGUCAAAUCCCAGCAAGUCCAAGAUACCUUGCAGAAUAAUACAUGAUUGUGAAAUAUAGCAGGUAAUCUCACAGACUCCUGACAAUUUUGUAUUGUUAACUCUUGCACUGUAUCGGUUUACUUAUACUAUUCAUUACUGAAAAUCUACACUGAGCUAAGUCAUGAUUUCAUAUUUGAAUGUUUCGGCAUUUUGAAUAGUUAUCUAUGUUAUAUCCUCUUUUGUUGAAAAUGAAUUCUUUUGCAUCUCUACGACACUCUUAUUCAUGGUAGUAAUUCUUAAAAACUGAUUCAAUGCCCUAAAAAAUGGGUGUCAUAUGAGUCUAUUAACCCUGUGAAGGAAUACAUCUAUUUUAGUUCCAUGAGCUUGCACCUCUCCAACACAUCUCAAAGGAAUUCUGAACUACUGUUGUAAGUUUCUUUGUCACGGUUACUUAAUUGAAACAUUUGAAUAUGCUUGUGAUAUUUCCAGCAAGCCUUUUCAAUGAAAAAAUCUUGAUAAUAUUAGUUUUUCUCUUUUAUAGUCCCCUGUUUUUUCUCAAUAUUGAACAUGAAUACCAUGAGAAUGCUACUGAGGUGUGCUUUCCUUUGGUGAAUUUAGCGACCUUCUCUCAUCAGGCUCCCAUGAAGGUCUACAGCGGCAGGGGACUGCCACAUCCAAUGAGGGCACCAUCAGUUAUCCUCUUCAUCUAUCUGUGUUGGUUACGCCUCGAUGCAUCGGCGCUGGACCUAGAGAAAAAUUGCUUGACCUAUAGUUCCUCUCUCAAUCUCUCACACACACGUUGGUAGACUUUUGUAGCAUUUCCCUCUAUUUUUCUUGAUGCUGGUAGGUUUUCAAGAUUGGCCAGACCCGUGCCAAAGGAUGAACAAUGAAGUGAACAACACGCUCCCCCAUAGCUGAGCUCGAAUGGAAAGCAGGUAAUUAGUACCCAAGCUCAUCUCUUCCUCAUGGCUCUCUCUCUAUUUAAUUUGCAGGAAUCAUUUAUGUUUGUACAGAUUCCUUAUAUCUUCGCCUACGAGGAAUCUACAGCUUAUUCUCAUGUUUUUUUUCAUACUCUUAAAUUUUGGUUGAGCAUAUAUGAACAACCAAAAGUGAGUUGUUUUCUUAACUAUUUAAGGUAAUGGUAUUUUUUUUAGUCAUGUACUGGUAUUUUUUUAAACACUACCUCAUAGGAUGGAAGAUAUGAAUAUUGGUGUGUUGCAGGUUCUCGAACCUAUUUGGAUUAUGCAUGUCAAAUGUUCUUUUCUGAAAAUUUACCCUCCCCUUACAGACAUGGCCUUGGAUUUGUGUCACCUAUCUCUUCAUGUCUGAAUGCAGGCUCGGUUCCAAUCAUGGUUUGUAUUAAGUGUUGUAAGAUCAGUCUUCACUGGAUCUGAACUUGCUUUACCUUUUCCUAUCGGCUAGGUAAAGACACCAAAUUCAGUAAGCUGCCAUGGUGUUAAUUAGUGGCCUCUGGGAAAAGUCGGAGCACGUGCAGACACUACCUUGUGCCAAUACUGGCGGCGGCGCAUCGACUAAAUCGCUGGUCGAAGCACCAGACCAAAGACUCUGAAGACCGCCGCUGAGAUGUCAAAUAAUACCAAACCAGUUUCAAUCUGUGAUGAUAAAGUCGAUGAAAAAUACAACACAUUUAAGCCAUUUGAUACUGUUAAUGGUCAUAGUGAUCAUUAUUAUCCGAAACCAGAGUUAAGGCUGGUUCACAUAGUUAAGGCCCUAUUUAUUCUUUGCCAUCUUAUAGCAGUACUAAGUUUGUCCUGUCCACAGCCAUCAAAAGACUGGGCGAAGCGUAUUCAGCGUGAGUGUGAAAGCUUAGAAAAAGAUUUGCCCAGAUAGUUAACUCUUGCUUCUUAUACUCAAUAUUUUUUAUGAACUACCUCUUGGGUACCAACUUUUCCACUCAGUAUCUUGACGCUAUUAGUUCAAAUCUAAUAUGGAUAGCUCAACUAAACGCUGAGCCCAUUCGGCUUUAGGUAAUGAGUGUACUUGCAUUGCCGUGCUACACUAAUAUAAAGUUCUCGAGAUAUAAUUGGUUUCAGUUCUUGCACAUCCGGUUCCUAUUUCUGUUAGCUACUUUGGCAGAUUACACCAUCUGCAGCUAACAUUAUGUGUCUAAUGGAUAGUUUAGUAGACAGCUGGUUAACUGCUUCCUCAAAUGACUGUACGAUGCAAAGCUGUGGUUCUUUUCGAAGGAAAAGCCAAACUGCACUAGCCUUUGCUUGCUUUCAUAUAGCACAGAGGUUGAUUAUUGGGUGAAUAUGAUUGCAGCCACUUCAUUGCUUAGGAACGGCGGCUGUCUGAUUGAGCUUGCCAGCCGAUCUGAGCUAUUUAUUUUUUCACUGCCUGAAAUAGAGUACUGCAAGGAAACAAAUGUUGAGAGCACCCUCCAAAGGAAAAGGUUCAUGUACAAAAUCUGUAUCAUGAUAAAGGUUUGUGUAUUAGGUGAACUUUGGACAUUAGAUGAUAUGUGAGAAGAAACUGACUGGAUACUGCUUUCACAUCCUCUCAAGAAUCAAGGUGUUGGAGUACUGUUUUCUUUCACUUGAAACUGUAGGAUUUUAUGUCCUCAUGUGCCAGCAUGAUGAUACUUAGUUCACCAUUUUCUUAGUAGAUGCAGAAUUUUGUCCAUUCA